GCAAGUCGAAGCGGUAGAUAGAGUGUGCUUGCUACCUUAUCUUAGCGGCAGACGGGUGAAUAAUGCUUAUGACUCUGCCUAUUAGUGGGGGACAACAUUCCAAUAAGGAAUGCUAAUACCGCAUACGUCCUACGGGAGAAAGCGGGGGAUCUUCGGACCUUGCGCUAAUAUAUGAGCCUAAGUCAUAUUAGCUAUUUGGAGGUGUAAAGGCCUACCAACGCCAAUAUCUGUAUCGGGUCUGAGAAGAUGAUCCGCCACUCUGGCACUGACACAGGGCCCACACUCCUACGGGAGGCAGCAGUGGGGAAUAUUGGACAAUGGGGGGAACCCUGAUCCAGCCAUGCCGCGUGUGUGAAUAACGCCUUAUGGUUGUAACGCUCUUUAAGCGAGGAGGAGGCUACUGAGACUAAUACUCUUGGAUAGUGAACGUUACUCGAAUAAUAGGCACCGGAUACCUCUGUGCCAGCACCCGCGUAAAUACAGAGGCUACGAGCAUUAAUAAUGAUUGACUGUACGUAACGCGUGCGCGGGCGGCUUUUUAAGUCGGAUGUGAAAUCCCCGACCUUAGCUUGCGAAUUGCAUUCCAUACUGGGAAGCUAGAGUAUGAGAGAGGAUGGAUAGAAUUCCAGGUGUAGCGAAUGAUAUGCGAUAUAUAUCUGGAGAGAAUAUGGAUGAGCGAACGCAGCCAUCUGCCCUAGUACUGACUCUGACGUACGAAUGCAUGGGGAGCAACCAGAUUUAGAUACCUUGUUAUUCCAUCCGGUAAACAAUGUUUAUUAGCCGUUGGGGCCUUUGAGUCUUUAGUGGCGCAGCUAACGCGAUAAGUAGCCCCCCUGGGGAGUACGGUCGCAAGACUAAAACUCAAAUGAAUUGACGGGGGCCCGCACAAGCGGUGGAGCAUGUGUUUUAUUUCGAUGCAACGCGAAGACCCUUACCUGUCCUUGACAUCCUAGAAACUUUCCAGAGAUGGAUUGGUCCCUUCGGGAAUCUAGAUCCAGGGGCUGCAUGGCUGUGUUCAGCUCGUGUCUGGAGAGGUUGGGUUAAGUCCCGCAACGAGCGCAACCCUUUUCCUUAUUUGCCAGCAUUUCGGAUGGGAACUUUAAGGAUACUGCCAGUGACAAACCGGAGGAAGGUGGGGAUGACGUCAAGUCAUCAUGGCCCUUACGGCCAGGGCUACACACGUGCUACAAUGGUCGGUACAAAGGGUUGCCACACAGCGAUGUGAAGCUAAUCUCAAAAAGCCGAUCGUAGUCCGGAUUGGAGUCUGCAACUCGACUCCAUGAAGUCGGAAUCGCUAGUAAUCGCGGAUCAGAAUGCCGCGGUGAAUACGUUCCCGGGCCUUGUACACACCGCCCGUCACACCAUGGGAGUUGGUUGCACCAGAAGUAGGUUAGUCUAACCGCAAGGAGGCAACGCUUACCCAACGG
rnacentral:rRNA from 1 species